rnacentral:tRNA from 1 species
UUUUGGCCCUAGAGAGUUAGGAUGAUGGUUGUAAACUAUUAGUUGAAUACAUGUUCCCAAAGUG